rnacentral:rRNA from 1 species
GAUGAACGCUGGCGGCGUGCCUAAUACAUGCAAGUCGAGCGAACAGACGAGGAGCUUGCUCCUCUGAUGUUAGCGGCGGACGGGUGAGUAACACGUGGAUAACCUACCUAUAAGACUGGGAUAACUUCGGGAAACCGGAGCUAAUACCGGAUAACAUGUUGAACCGCAUGGUUCAACAGUGAAAGACGGUCUUGCUGUCACUUAUAGAUGGAUCCGCGCCGCAUUAGCUAGUUGGUAAGGUAACGGCUUACCAAGGCAACGAUGCGUAGCCGACCUGAGAGGGUGAUCCGCCACACUGGAACUGAGACACGGUCCAGACUCCUACGGGAGGCAGCAGUAGGGAAUCUUCCGCAAUGGGCGAAAGCCUGACGGAGCAACGCCGCGUGAGUGAAGAAGGUCUUCGGAUCGUAAAACUCUGUUAUUAGGGAAGAACAAAUGUGUAAGUAACUAUGCACGUCUUGACGGUACCUAAUCAGAAGGCCACGGCUAACUACGUG